rnacentral:rRNA from 1 species
GACGAACGCUGGCGGCGUGCUUAACACAUGCAAGUCGAACGGCAAGGCCCUGCUUUUGUGGGGUGCUCGAGUGGCGAACGGGUGAGUAACACGUGAGUAACCUGCCCUUGACUUUGGGAUAACUUCAGGAAACUGGGGCUAAUACCGGAUAGGAGCUCCUGCUGCAUGGUGGGGGUUGGAAAGUUUCGGCGGUUGGGGAUGGACUCGCGGCUUAUCAGCUUGUUGGUGGGGUAGUGGCUUACCAAGGCUUUGACGGGUAGCCGGCCUGUGAGGGUGACCGGCCACAUUGGGACUGAGAUACGGCCCAGACUCCUACGGGAGGCAGCAGUGGGGAAUAUUGCACAAUGGGCGGAAGCCUGAUGCAGCAACGCCGCGUGCGGGAUGCCGGCCUUCGGGUUGUAAACCGCUUUCGCCUGUGACGAAGCGUGAGUGACGGUAAUGGGUAAAGAAGCACCGGCUAACUACGUG